CCUUUGGUCCUGCCUCAAUCCCUGCCGACGCAUCGCCGGGGACCCGAGCCACCGCACCCUACUAGCCCCUCCAGCCUACCUCCGCCGACCUGUCCCGAUCCCCUCCAUUAUCAACCGCUACCUGUGCUCUUCCCCUGGCGCUACCCCAGCAAUCCCGCCGCGCUCUGGACGAACGACAGCAUCACCCUGCGCCGGAUUUGGGCCACCCCGUGCCGGAUCCGCACCCCCAGCAUCAGAUCCCGCGGGUUCUCUUCUCGUACAUGGUGGCCUCCCGCCCCCCAGGCCAUGGAUCGCCUACACGCCCAGCAGGGUCGAUUUGUUGGGGUGGUAGGAGCCCGUGGAUGGAGGGGAACCAUGGCCGCCGACAUCGCCAGAACAGCUCCGCUUCUCGUACACCAAUGGAACCGGGAUAAUUCUCGAAAAAAGGGAGCCCGGCAAUCUGCACAUUUACAAUUAAGAAACUUCAUCAUGUGCUCCCAGGAGCAGCACAACAACCAUACUUGUUGCUCAUGGAUCUGGGAAAAACAAGGGAGAACACUGCGAGGAAGAAGGUGCAAUCAGAUAUGAAAAAACAAGGUGAUAGACGACGGGGAGAUUUUAUAAAAUGAACUCAUGACAGUGUGUGGCAAGGUGAUGCAUGGCUUGUCACUCGGGUUGGCUGACAUAGGUGGACCAGGCUGCAGGCUGCCUCCAUGACGUUGCUCAACCUGUUCACUGGCGCUAUCACUGAUCUCCCACCAGCGCAUCGCAGAGGCUCUAGUGCAUCACUCAUGCUACUUGUCGUUGUGAGCAUCGAAUAGGGCCUUUUCUAAUCUCAACUUAAAUCAUCAUAAUUUUGUUUCAAUUAAGAAAGGUGCUUACCACACAUCCCGUGUGGUAAUAGCUACGCACAAUGCUCGAAUCCACGGUUCGAGUCAUUCCAAAAUUUUGCAUUUAGAAGUUUUCUAAAUUUCCCGCAACUAUUCUACAUGUGUGCUUGUGUAUUCUAUGUAACGUGUAAUGUUUUAUUAACAAAUAGUCCUGGGA